GGCCCAAUGGUCAAGUGGUUAUGACAUGAUGCUUUCACCAUUGUAGCGGGGGUUCGAUUCCCCCUUGGGCUA
rfam:Lasallia pustulata genome assembly, contig: scaffold89_size55578